UACGUAGGCAGCGAGCGUUGUUCGGAAUUACUGGGCGUAAAGGGCGCGUAGGUGGCCUGUUAAGUCGAACGUGAAAUCCCCGGGCUCAACCCGGGAACUGCGUCCGAGACUGGCAGGCUCGAAUCCGGGAGAGGGAUGUGGAAUUCCAGGUGUAGCGGUGAAAUGCGUAGAUAUCUGGAGGAACACCGGUGGCGAAGGCGGCAUCCUGGACCGGUAUUGACGCUGAGGCGCGAAAGCCAGGGGAGCAAACGGG
rnacentral:rRNA from 1 species